rnacentral:rRNA from 1 species
GACGAACGCUGGCGGCGUGCCUAAUACAUGCAAGUAGAACGCAGUUGCGCACGGGUGAGUAACGCGUAGGUAACUGCCCCAUAGCGGGGGAUAACUAUCUGAAACGAUAGCUAAUACCGCAUACUGUGAGAUGGACCUGCGUUGCAUUAGCUAGGUGGUGCGGUAAAGGCGCACCAAGGCGACGAUACAUAGCCGACCUGAGAGGGUGAUCGACCACACUGGGACUGGGAAACGGCCCAGACUCCUACGGAGGGCAGCAGUAGGGAAUCUUCGGCAAUGGACGGAAAGCUGACCGAGCAACGCCGGGUGAUUGAAGAAGGUUUUCGGAUCGUAAAGCUCUGUUUUUAGAGAAGCGUUAACUAACCAGGAAGGGACGGCUAACUACGUGCCAGCAGCCGCGGUAAUAC